rnacentral:lncRNA from 1 species
AUAACCUAUAUCUAAUGGCUCAUCAUUUUAGGGAGGAGGGAGGUGAGGGAGGAAGGGAGGGAGAAAAUUUGGAACUCAAAAUUAAAAAAAAAAGUUAAAAAUUGUCUUUACAUGUAAUUGGAAAAAGUAGAAUACAAUUUAUUUUUUAGAAGCUGAGGAUGAAAAGAUCAAGGCCCUCUUUCCUCACCAUGUUCCAGAGUUCCGUAGUUUGGAUGUGGGCAAGUAGUGCCUACAGAGAAAUGGGAACCCUCCUGUGGCCAAAGCCAGAUCUCAAGGUGAAUGAGGAAGGUCAUCACAGUGCUGGUUCUGAUGAUGGAACUAUUCUCCCCAAAGGUUGCUUACAUUGAAUUGAAGGGAAAUGGAGGUGUCUGGUGGGAAUGGAUCCAAUUAUCUUCAAGGUAAGAG